UCCAACCACUAUCAAAUACACAUCGAUGCAUUCAAUCCGACAAUCCGUAUUAUGGUCAACGCAUUCAAUCCGACAAUCCGAACAACGAUAGUAUGAUUAGCAAUGGAUUUAAAUUUGAUCGAGGUGAAACCCAAUCUGACCCAAUCUAGUCCAUUUACCAUCCUACAUCAUGCAACAUCAUCCAAACCAUUCAUCACAACAUAGUUAUAUCAUACAAAUACAUUAAAUACUUUAUAAAAACCAAAAAACAAACCCGAAAUUUGAACUUCAAAGGUCUCAAGAAGACACGACGACGACGAUGCAAAAGAAAGAGAAAAAUUCAUCAAAAGUAAAGUUACAUACUGCGAGGCGACUCAGUUUGUUAAUUCCAUAAUGGCAGAAACAAUGUCACCGUUUGCUGCUUUGAGUGCCUUAACUGCCCUUGAUCUUGAAACCCCAGCUUGAGUCAUCACCAACUCAAUGUCCUUGGGUUCCACACCAGUUUCGUCUACAUCUUCAUCGUCUUGAGCCAAAGUUGAUGGCUCAGGGUUUGCUGUCACAGCACUUACAUUAGGAGCCUUGAACUGCUCCGCAGCCUGAGUUUGAAGUUGUGAGCUCAAGUCCUCAAUCUUUGCUUCCCCAAAAAUGACAUAUGUGUCGGAUGCGGGGCUCUUAAAAACAUCUGGCUUUGAGAUGACGAAGAGAAUCUGAAAUAACAACCCUUACUAGAUGAAUUCCAUAAAUCAAUCUCAUGGAAGCUGACACAAAAUGCGUGAUAGCAAUAAAAUAAUAAAAAAGCAACAAAUCAACACUUACAUUCUUGCUCUUCUUGACAGUCACACGGCUGACACCUGGAAUUCCUUUCAUUCCAAGUUUCAACAUCGCUUUGCGACUCUUCUUUUCACUUCUGCUCUGCUUAGACCUACCAGUUGCAUCUCCUUGUCCU
rnacentral:lncRNA from 1 species